GACGAACGCUGGCGGCGCGCCUAACACAUGCAAGUCGAACGAGAGAUGAAGAGCUUGCUCUUCAAAUCGAGUGGCGAACGGGUGAGUAACGCGUGAGGAACCUGCCUCAAAGAGGGGGACAACAGUUGGAAACGACUGCUAAUACCGCAUAAGCCCACGGCUCGGCAUCGAGCAGAGGGAAAAGGAGUGAUCCGCUUUGAGAUGGCCUCGCGUCCGAUUAGCUAGUUGGUGAGGUAACGGCCCACCAAGGCGACGAUCGGUAGCCGGACUGAGAGGUUGAACGGCCACAUUGGGACUGAGACACGGCCCAGACUCCUACGGGAGGCAGCAGUGGGGAAUAUUGCACAAUGGGGGAAACCCUGAUGCAGCGACGCCGCGUGGAGGAAGAAGGUCUUCGGAUUGUAAACUCCUGUUGUUGAGGAAGAUAAUGACGGUACUCAACAAGGAAGUGACGGCUAACUACGUG
rnacentral:rRNA from 1 species